UCAGGAGCGGGCAUAUUUCAUCACGGAGUAUCUCUCCGGUGGCAGCCUGGAGGCUUUGAUCAAUAUGUGCGGCUACCUGAAUACUGACAGCGUAAGAUUCUACACAGCAGAGCUGGUAUGUGGCCUCCAGUUCCUCCAUGGACACAACAUCGUCCACCGAGAUCUGAAGCCGCUUAACAUCAUGUUGGAUGCAGAUGGCCACAUCCGUAUAAUUGAC